GUAGACAUAGUUUAAUCAAAACGUUAGAUUGUGAUUCUAAUAACAGAGGUUAAAAACCUCUUGUCCACC
rnacentral:tRNA from 1 species